rnacentral:rRNA from 1 species
GACGAACCGUCCAAACGUUAUUCGGAAUUAUUGGGCUUAAAGGGUGCGUAGGCGGUGCGGUAAGUCGGGUGUGAAAUCCCUCAGCUCAACUGAGGAACAGCGCUCGAUACUGCCGUGCUUGAGGGAGACAGAGGUUAGCGGAACUGAUGGUGGAGCGGUGAAAUGCGUUGAUAUCAUCAGGAACACCAGUGGCGAAAGCGGCUAACUGGGUCUCUUCUGACGCUGAGGCACGAAAGCUAGGGGAGCGAACGGG